GAUGAACGCUGGCGGCGUGCCUAAUACAUGCAAGUCGAGCGAACAGAUGAGGAGCUUGCUCCUCUGACGUGAGCGGCGGACGGGUGAGUAACACGUGGAUAACCUACCUAUAAGACUGGGAUACCUUCGGGAAACCGGAUCUAAUACCGGAUAAGAUAUUGAACCGCAUGGUUCAAUAGUGAAAGACGGUUUUGCUGUCACUAAUAGAUGGAUCCGCGCCGCAUUAGCUAGUUGGUAAGGUAACGGCUUACCAAGGCAACGAUGCGUAGCCGACCUGAGAGGGUGAUCAGCCACACUGGAACUGAGACACGGUCCAGACUCCUACGGGAGGCAGCAGUAGGGAAUCUUCCGCAAUGGGCGAAAGCUUGACGGAGCAACGCCGCGUGAGUGAUGAAGGUCUUCGGAUCGUAAAACUCUGUUAUUAGGGAAGAACAAAUGUGUAAGUAACUAUGCGCGUCUUGACGGUACCUAAUCAGAAAGCCACGGCUAACUACGUG
rnacentral:rRNA from 1 species